rnacentral:rRNA from 1 species
AACGAACGCUGGCGGCAGGCCUAAAACAUGCAAGUCGAACGCUCAUAGCAAUAUGGGAGUGGCGCACGGGUGAGUAACACGUGGGAAUAUGCCUCUUGGUACGGAAUAACUUUUGGAAACGAAAGCUAAUACCGUAUGGUCCCUUCGGGGUAAAGAUUUAUCGCCAAGAGAGUAGCCCGCGUUGGAUUAGCUAGUUGGUGAGGUAAUGGCUCACCAAGGCGACGAUCCAUAGCUGGUCUUAGAGGACGAUCAGCCACACUGGGACUGAGACACGGCCCAGACUCCUACGGGAGGCAGCAGUUAGGAAUAUUGGACAAUGGGCGAAAGCCUGAUCCAGCCAUGCCGCGUGAGUGAUGAAGGCCUUCGGGUUGUAAAGCUCUUUAGUCCACGAUUAUAAUGACUGUAGUGGAAGAAUAAGCCCCGGCUAACUUCGUGCCAGCAGCCGCCGUAA